AAUCUGUGAUGUUGACAUUUUUUAAUCAACAUUUUGAAGUGUUUCCACGCCUCAUAGAAACCUUAUCAUUCUAUCUGCCUAAAGACAUCAAUCUUUCUUCUUAGUUG
rfam:Gossypium raimondii Chr04_contig_1019, whole genome shotgun sequence.